rfam:Rattus norvegicus chromosome 1, whole genome shotgun sequence.
GGAGAGGUGGCUCAGCGGUUAAGAGCACUGACUGAUCUUCCAAAGGUUCUGAGUUCAAAUCCCAGCAACCCCA